rnacentral:rRNA from 1 species
CCUACGGGCGGCUGCAGUGGGGAAUAUUGCACAAUGGGCGCAAGCCUGAUGCAGCCAUGCCGCGUGUGUGAAGAAGGCCUUCGGGUUGUAAAGCACUUUCAGCGGGGAGGAAGGCGUUAAGGUUAAUAACCUUGGCGAUUGACGUUACCCGCAGAAGAAGCACCGGCUAACUCCGUGCCAGCAGCCGCGGUAGUACGGAGGGUGCAAGCGUUAAUCGGAAUUACUGGGCGUAAAGCGCACGCAGGCGGUCUGUCAAGUCGGAUGUGAAAUCCCCGGGCUCAACCUGGGAACUGCAUUCGAAACUGGCAGGCUAGAGUCUUGUAGAGGGGGGUAGAAUUCCAGGUGUAGCGGUGAAAUGCGUAGAGAUCUGGAGGAAUACCGGUGGCGAAGGCGGCCCCCUGGACAAAGACUGACGCUCAGGUGCGAAAGCGUGGGGAGCAAACAGGAUUAGAUACCCGGGUAGUC